rnacentral:sRNA from 1 species
GGUGCGAGGCUUGCGGGACGCUGCGAGGUGGUUCGCUGCCCCCCGCCUCCACCCUAGCAUUGCACAAGCGCCCCGCCGCGAAAUCCCUGUCAUCG